UGCCUAGCUUACCAUCGGUCACGGAGGUCACGCUAAGCCGUCCUGUGGGGGAACACAUUGUGUUCAGAUCUAUACGUUGAUUGGUUCUUAAAAGCAUAGAUUUAGUCUAGAAAUGAAGAACGCGAGAGUGAGGGAGUGGCGGGUUGGUACCGUCAGUUAGCUGAUACACCAACGUGACUUUUUUUUUGUAAGUUCAUUAGUAGAAAAUAAUUAUGUUGAAUCCCUGAUUCCCGUAUUCAUUUGUAUAGAAAAAAAAUAUCGAAGUGCUAUCGAUUCAAAACACAUUGAGUGACAUUGUAGAUAUCUAGUCUAGAUCUAUAUCUGGAUUCUAGAUCUAGAAUCUAGAUAACUUAGUUAUACAGGAAUAGAUCUAGCUAGACAUUACGACUGAUGAUUACGUUAUGUCAUGAGUCUCUACAUUACUCUAUAAUCUAGAUCCAAUUUAGUUGCAGUAUGAUUUAGAUUGACUAGAUCUAGAUCGAUAACAUCUACUAACAUCUAGUCUAGAUCUAGACUAGAUUAAAUUCUUAGUCUUAGUAUAGAAUAGAUCAAGGAUGAAGGUAGGCUUACGAAAGUUUGGAGUAGACCUACGUUUGUAGCGGAUCCACGGCAUCGGUAACACUCUUGAGCCCAGAUCUAGAGUAGAUUAUAUUCAUUAUAUAGACAUAGAUCCAAAUCUAGUCUAGAUAUCAUCUCUAUUGUCGUAUUGAUUUAGAUUGUAGAUCUAAUCAUGACAUUUAGAUCUAAUAUUAUAUAUAUAUAUAUAUAUAUAUAUAUAUAUAUAUAUAUGACAAAAUAGUGGUUCGCGUAAGUGUUACGCAUUCUGGUGCCAAAAUACGCAUUUUGACCAUCAGCGUUACGCAUUUGGACUUUUUUUGGUAGGCAGGUCUGCACAGAAAUAAAAAAUAUAUUUGUAUAUCCAGAAGUGCAGGACAUACAGUUAGUGUAAGCAGACAUGAUUGUUACUGAAGUGAUGUUGAUACCAAAUGGCAAUAGUUUGAGAGUGGAAUGUUUUGAUUUCUGAAUUUGUCAAAUAAAAUUUGUGUACAGUUUUA